GAAGCUGCCUCCCUUAGGGAUGUGGAGAGAAGAGGAGGACACUGUGGCCUGAACUCUCCAGAAAUCUGGAGAACUCUGCACCAUUCUCCCGGCCUCCCACUUUCCAGCAGGCACAGGGCUCCCCAGUACAGCAAUAGCCCCGCGCAGUUCCCGGUUGUGGACAGAAGGAGAUUGAAGGAGACCGCGCGCUGCAACUCGCGCUUCUCGAGUCCUCACUCCCAGAACACCCCACCAAACCCUGCCGUGAAGCGAGGCCAUCCUGCGCGGCGGUGACCCCUGCAGCGCUCGCCGCCCGGGAGGGGGCGCCAUUGUCACGCGGCUGCGAGCGGCGGCGGCGGGCGGUCGCCGGGACCUUCCCCCGUCCUACCAGGG
rnacentral:lncRNA from 1 species